rnacentral:misc_RNA from 1 species
CACCAUAAAGCUGCUAAAGCUCCCACUGCUGCGCGACCAUUUCAUAUAUAAAUCUUAUAAACAUUGUAACAAAUUUUUAUUUUACAAUAAAAAAUAUGAAAAUAAAAGGAAUGAAUAAAUGAAUAGAAGAGAAUAAAUUAGGGAGAGAUUGUGGGGGGGGUAGGUUACACUAUCACUAAGAGAAACAAUCUAUGAAAACAACUAGAGCCUCAGCCAGCCAAUUUCAUGCGUUGCCUUGGUGUUCUCCUGCAAUAUUGCUAUGGCAUUUUGGCCAGCAUGCAGAAUCAGCCAUUUAUUAUUUGUAAAUUUAGAUUAAUAUAACAUGGCUUUUGAUUAUUUGUACAUUUAUCUGAGUUAAUGUCUCUGCCUUGUUCAUUUCAUAUUGUUCACAGCAAUUUUACCUUUGUUUUCUUUUUCAGAUAAUUUACGUCUUCUGAUAGAGAUAAGGAGAUCAUAUAAAAGACGUAAGAAUACAGCCCACCUUGCUCAGGUACUUGCUAUGAAUCUUCAAUGCCUCGUUACAAACCUUUUUAGCAUCCAUAUUUCCAGUCAUCUCGUCCAAUAUCUGGACAACAUCAUCAAGACCCUUAGCUUCCUUCAAAAUUCUGUUGUUCUUGGCCUCAAUAACACUUGCAGCAAGAAAAACAGCAAGUGCAAUUUGAUGCCCCGAAUUUUCUGUCUCCACAUUUUUUCUCUCAAAUUUGCCACACUGCUUUAGCAGCUCCUUAGUUGACAUAGUUGCACUACUCUUGUCUGUGGCAGCACUAGGCUCCUCAUAUAAGGAGAAGAUAUUUGGGUUGUACUCCAUGGCCCACAUCAGCUGAAACCAAUCUAUAUUACUGUCUUUAUAUAAGCUUGACUAAUAAAAUCUGCGAAGUACUACCACAUUUAAUUCAACUCAAAGCCUCCAUAUUUUUAAUUCUUUCCUCUAGAUCCCCAGCAAAAUAACAGGCCCUUAAUGAAUUUAUGAGAGAAUUUUACAUAAAUACACUAAUAAUUUCUUACCUCCCAAAGAUAUAAUGCAUCCACAAAAGUGAACUCUCUUCGAAAAAGUACCAUCAACAUGCGAAAUGCAAACAAAUAUUCACCACCAUCAAGCUCCUCAAGGUGUUGAUGAAGCUUUGGAUCAACAGUUUUAAUGACUUGCGAGAGUGUACUCAGCUGAGUUUGCACCCCUAUUGAACUUGCGCUGCACCUGAAGUUUUCUCUCAGUUUCUGCAUUGCACGAUCAAAACACCAAAAGGCAUCUGCUUCAUUUUCAAGAAGAAUUACCAUUGGAGAACAAAUAUCAUUCAUUCCUUGGACAUAACCAAUGUCAUUAUCCACCCAUGCAUAAAGUGCAAGAACAUCCCAAAGUUUUGCCUGGUUAGUCUCACUUUCAUAAAAGGCAAGUGUUUGAUCUGUGCGUACAACAUCUAAACCAAUUUGAUGCAAAACAAGCAUCCACUGAAUUGCUUUAUUGUCUGAAACAGCAUUAUUAACAAGCCCUCCUUCAGCAUUGUUUGUUGAAGAAUCAAUUAUUGGCUGGCCAUCAUCAGUAAUGAUAGGUGUUGUAAUAAACUUUCCACUACCAAUUACUGGAACCAAAUUUUUACAUUCAUCUUUCCAUAUGGUAUACUGCUCCCUCCUGCGCUGCCUAAUCUGAUUCCGGUCUUCAAAUGUGCUAUCAGGAUCAUAACAUCCUAACAAGAACUCCCAGACUAACCCUUUAAUUGCGGGAUGAAUACCCCCUCUUUGAAUUCGUCUAAGCACUUUUGCGAUAUCCAAAUGCCCAUCUUCAGAGAAUGCAGCAUGCCACCUUCUUGGACUUAAAGUUUUCCCAGCCCUCGGCCUGAAACGGGUCCUAGGAGCAUCUUCUUGAUACUCGGGUCUAAUUGGAUAGAAAGUCCCGAGUUCCUCCCCUCCUUCUGACUUCUUCAAAAGCAUUGAUGUAAAUACCUCACAACCAACCAUCCAAACUGAUUAUUCACUCACUGCCACAGCAAAGAAAAUCAAAACACAAAAGAAUUUCAUUAGUUAUGAUGGGCAUUAACUAAAAAGAAAUUUUUAUAAAGAUAAAAAAAGGGAGAGAGAAUAGAUUCCCAUAUAUCCUGGCAUCCAAAUGCAGGAAUAGACCCAGAACAUUUGCAAUGUUAAAUCAAAUAUCUGAUCAAAUUAUGAACAACCCAGAAGCAUUUUCAAACCAAUCAACCCUCCUAAUAAAAGGGAUGACCCAGUGCACCGAGCAUUGAGAAGGGUCAUGUUCGCAGUCUUAUAUUGUCUUAAAGAGAGGUUAUUUUGUA